UGCCCUAAGCAUUGUAGUCAGGACAC
rnacentral:piRNA from 1 species